CCGGGGACGGUGCCAGAUUGUCGUACUGAACCUCAUAUAUUUAACAACCUCCGACCCAAAAACCGUCUCCUGGGACCCACUAACUAGAGUCAUUCAUAUUUGUCGUUAAAAUAGUUAAUUUACUGAUGUCUCUUGGCAAUAGCUAUGCGUCAAAAACCGGUUAAUACUAUGAUGCCCUGAGUACGAUAACCGGUGGUGGAGGCCUCCCAGCUGACAAGACCGGCGGCCUAACACACACACACACUUCUCCUUCCAGUGUUGGUUGUGAGGGAUUUCAACUCACACCACCACCUGCCGCCACACCACAGACACACCCCAGCCGCUGUACCUGUCCACAGCUGGUAGCCUGAGAGUGACUUAUCCGGGAACUUGUCACGGUGAUUUCCGCGCCCCAGCAUGACACAGAAGGAUGGCAUUUGGGCAAAAAGUCUGUCUUUCAGUAUUAACGGUGGUGGUGGACGGCAAACAUUGUGGAAGCAGUCCUCUGAGUCGUGGGGAGGACGCCGCCACAACAGACUGAGAUGACACUGCCGCCAGCACCUCCUCCUCUGCCCAGCCACCACCAGAGAGGCUUUACUCCAGAAGGCACUGGAGGUAUGCAAGAACAUUGCUGCUGCUGCUGCUGCUGGAUACAUACAGUUAUUAACAAUACAAACCACUGGACCCACCACCCAUCGGCAAGUGUUCCAGGAGGCAAGAAGGAGUGACUCUACACCAUAGAACUUUGACAGACCUCCUCCUCCUGCCUUCAAGUCUGGCCAAGAUAUGUGACAAAGAAGAAGCAGAAGAAGAAGGCUCCGAUCACAAGGAAGAAAUUCUGUAGCCCUGCUGGACGUCAUUGGAGUAGCCGCUGUACCUGUCCACAGCUGGUAGCCUGAGAGUGACUUAUCCGGGAACUUGUCACGGUGAUUUCCGCGCCCCAGCAUGACACAGAAGGAUGGCAUUUGGGCAAAAAGUCUGUCUUUCAGUAUUAACGGUGGUGGUGGACGGCAAACAUUGUGGAAGCAGUCCUCUGAGUCGUGGGGAGGACGCCGCCACAACAGACUGGGAUGACACUGCCGCCAGCACCUCCUCCCCUUCCUCCCUGCCCAGCCACCACCAGAGAGGCUUUACUCCAGAAGGCACUGGAGGUAUGCAAGAACAUUGCUGCUGCUGCUGCUGCUGGAUACAUACAGUUAUUAACAAUACAAACCACUGGACCCACCACCCAUCGGCAAGUGUUCCAGGAGGCAAGAAGGAGUGACUCUACACCAUGGAACUUUGACAGACCUCCUCCUCCUGUCUUCAAGUCUGGCCAAGAUGUGUGACCAAGAAGAAGAAGCAGAAGAAGACUCCGCUCACAAGGAAGAAAUUCUGUAGCCCUGCUGGACGUCAUUGGAGUAGGUAAUGCUGAUUAAUUUUUCUUUUAAUUAUUUAUUUAUUGAUUUAUUGAUUCAUUUUACUGCGGCUUUAACAGUGAGGGAAGGCACGUGGGCAUACUCAGGCAGACACAUGCCGCCUCAUUUCACCCUUUCAUACCUUCACUUCUACUCACCUCACGUGACUAAAUGAAGUACCAUUGUAAAGUACACACCCUUAACUGU